AGAACGAACGCUGGCGGCAUGCCUAACACAUGCAAGUCGAACGCCCCGCAAGGGGAGUGGCGGACGGGUGAGUAACACGUGGGAACCUGCCCAAUGGUCUGGAAUAACCGCGGGAAACUGCGGCUAAUACCGGAUAAGCCCGAGAGGGGAAAGAUUUAUCGCCGAUGGAGGGGCCCGCGUCCGAUUAGGUAGUUGGUGGGGUAAUGGCCUACCAAGCCUACGAUCGGUAGCUGGUCUGAGAGGAUGAUCAGCCACACUGGGACUGAGAUACGGCCCAGACUCCUACGGGAGGCAGCAGUGGGGAAUAUUGGACAAUGGGGGCAACCCGUGAUCCAGCAAUGCCGCGUGAGUGAUGAAGGCCUUAGGGUUGUAAAGCUCUUUUGGGCGGGACGAUGAUGACGGUACCGCAGAAUAAGCCCGGCUAACUUCGCGCCAGCAGCCG
rnacentral:rRNA from 1 species